GGGCGCCCCCCUCCUCCGCAGCCCCGCCGGCGAACACCCCUACCCCGCUCCUAGAGGGGGAACUAGAGAGCCCCAGGACCCAGGCCCUCCUCCCCAACACGCAGAAACAACCCAGGAGAGUAUUGUCACCCACCCACCCCACCUCUGCUCUGGUCAUCUCAGAGCCCAAGGCGGGAUGCUCAGAGAUCCAUUGCUCUAUACACCUCUUCUGAAAAUAACCCAAAAUGCCUUGAAAAGAAGUCGCCAAGGGAAGAAAACACACAAUUGGGGAAGACUUCUUGACACUUAUUUAACAUUUGUUACUGUUUUCAUUCUGAGUGACCUACAGGAUGAGAGCACAGAGGCUCAGAGCCUCUGAAGAAAGCCCUAGGCCCCCAGGGAAGCCAGACUCUGCAGCGCUCCUGUGGCCCCGCCGGUAGUAACCUGACUUCGCCUUCCUCCAUCUGCAGCAUCAAGUCUGACUCAGAACAAGGCUCCUGACUUCCCCAGAGGCUAUUUCUCAACCGGUUCCUAGAGAGUUAAAAUGAAAUUCUUGCCUCUUCUCAGUUCCCAAGCUGACCAGCCUGAUGCUUCUCACUCAAGAAGCAGGCAAACAAAGACAAGCGGGAGACAAAAGCUGGAAGGAAAGACUAGCACGAUGAAAAAUGAGGAAGUUUUCAUAAUGAAGAGGCAACUGUGUACAGCGCCUGGACUGGCCUCUCGAGAAAGCAGGCCCUGUGUUCAACCGUGAGCCACCCAGCAGCAGCUGUCUGCUCUGAGAACUCGGACACCUGAGGAUCCUCUGGUGAGGAGGGCCUCAGGGAUGGUAGGAUCCAGGAGGGCUCCCUCGUCUGGGGCCAUCAUGAGCUUCUAUUCCUGCCUACUUCCCAUCACCUAAGACAGUGCCACACAGCUAAAGACCAGAGAGUCUACUUACAGGGGACAAUUAAACACAGGCCUUUGUACCAAGAGUUCUGCUUGUUCCCUGAGGAAGCAGGCUCUUUGAAUCUUGGACCACAUUUUAAAUAAAUCUUCAGCAGAACUCAAAUCCACUUAGCAAAUGAUAGCUUAUUCUGAACAUUUUGGGCCCAAACAGGCUACAUACAAAGAGGAUCUUAAAUCAAAGCUGUAUUCCAGUGACUACACAGAAAAACAGUUCCAAUUGCUGUUUUCCUUCCUUGUUAGCAUCAGAGGUGUAUGAUUUUCACUAACUCAUACACAUGGGGAAAACUCCCAAAGUCUGAGAGGAAGACAGAUAGAGGGAGCACAUAAGACAAAGGUUUAGAGAAAGCUGAGAGGUUCCUGUGACAUAGCUGACAAAGAUGUUUUUGGAUCACUCACAAUAUCAUCAAAAUGCACGAGAAUUAAAUCUUCACUACAACCCGAGUUAACCACAUAAGGCAGCCCAUGUUUGGGGGAAACUCCUGUGUUCCUGAAGCUUAACUCCUAGAUUCAGGUCCCAGAAUAUGCAUUAGCACAUUUUAAUCAUUAACAGGAAAGCCCUAGGAGGCUCUGUAGGCUGAGGCUGCAGACCGUUCUCCCAUUCAAUUAGAGGAACAGCUUCCAGUCCUGUAUUAUUUUAGUUUAUGAAGCUGCUUGGCUCAAACAUCCACUGACAACUCUUUUUUGUUCUCAAUGAAUGCACUUUUCAGGGUUUUUUUAAAAAGCAUUUUAUCCAUCCGUGACGGACAUUAAGCCAACUUUUUAUCUUCAGUUAGUAUAAACAGUUAAUUGCUUUGA